GCGCUACACAUGCGCGUCGCCUGAUGCAGCAACUGCCGCGUGAGGGAUGAGGCCUUCGGGUUGUAAACCCCUUUCAGCUGGGACGAAGCUUCCCGGGUUAAUAGCCCGCAGGACUGACGGUACCUUCACAAGAACCCCCGGCUAACUACGUGCCAGCAGCCGCGGUAAUACGUAUGGGGCUAGCGUUGUCCGAAAUCAUUGGGCGUAAAGGGUGUGAAGGCGGUCGGGUAAGCCCGCUGUGAAAGUCGGGGGCUGAACCGCCGGAUGCCGGUGGAUACUGGCGGACUUGAGUGCGGAGGAGGGAAGGUGGAAUUCCUGGUGUAGGGGUGAAAUGCGCAAAUGUCAGGAGGAACACCGAUUGCGAAGGCAACUCGCUGAAACGUUGCUGACGCAGAGGAUU
rnacentral:rRNA from 1 species